UGCGCACCAGGGAGAGACCGCGCGCUCGCGCCGUGGCCACGCCUGGUGAUCCACAGCGCCCCCUGUGGUCUGGAGGCCGCGGGACACGGGUGGCGCGCCGAGGCUUCGCGCCCUGCCAGGGGUUGGAAGUCGUUUGCGGCGCGAGCUCCUGGGAAUGGUCCCUAAGGUCGCGUGCCGUAGUGUGUGCACGGCCGCCCGGUGCCUCCGCGUCUUCCUGGCCCACCCUGGCUUGGUGCUACGACGUUCUUCCACACUGUGUAAAGAGAAUCUUUAAAAAAGAUUUUGAAAGUGAAGCGCAUUAAAUGGAAGUGAAGUACCAGGAGAAAAACUCAGGGCACGAGGAAGCUGCAUCUCCCCAAGGAGAGCAGAGGAAGCACAAACCAGCCUUGUUCAAGAGCAGAGGACGGAGCUAAGAGUUAGCAGGCAUUUUACUGGGUCAGGAAGACAGGAGUAUGGCUGGGACUAAGAAGCUGCGACUGUAGGAGGGAUGAAUUCUGGAGCUGGACCAGGGAAGAGUUGGACAUGAGGGACGGAGGCAGAGCAGAGUGAGUUUUCUGACCAGUUUGGAUGGUGUUUAUAUUCACAUCUCUGGGAAUGACGGGACGCAAGGUAAGAGGUAAGCUAAUUAUUCACAUACCAAGAAAGUUAUAUUCUCUUUGUCUCAAUUGUAUUGAUAUGUGCUCACACUUUUUUUAGUUUUUGGUGGUGGUAUUAUGGAGGACAUUUAGAUUACUGAUUGUUUCAGGGAUACUUCUUGGUAACACCAUUCAUGCCCAGAACUUUUAUGUUGUCCUUUGCUAAAAUGAGUAAUUCUCCAUUUCUCUUUCCCCAAAUCACCGAAUUCACCGUUCUACUUUCGGUGUCCGCACUCAGCUGUUGUCAGGCAAGCGGGAUCACAGUGUUUGUCUUUGGUGUCUUAUUUCACUUAGUGUUGUCUUCAGAAUUCAUGCACGGUGCAGUAUAUGUCAGGUUUUCCUUUGUUUUUAAGACGUUUUUCUGUUAGCUUCACAGAUACCCAUUUAAAUCAGCUUUUUGGAAUGAUUCUCAGAAGAUGAAUGCUCAACCAUACUGUAAUUCUGUUUUAUUUUUUUUGAGGAGGCCACCUAUUUUUCGGAGGCCACAUGAUUUUGGCACUGUCAGCUGCAUAUAAAGGUUCCACGUCCUCCACUCCUCGGCAGCUGUCUUUUCUUACUUUUGGAGGUCAACAGCGAUCCAAAUGGGCAGGAAGCAGUACCCGGGGUUCUGACCUGUAUUGAUUAGUGAGUGAUGCUAAACGUCUUUUCACUUAGACGUCUUCUUUGGGGAAACUGUCCAUUUGUGAAUCGGGUCACUGACUUUUAACUGCUCCGUUUAUAGCUAUUUUGUAGUAUGAAACACUUACUUCCACGGAACAAGAAGAAAUGUGUUAAGAUUGCAUAAAGAUGCUGGGAGGUGAAGGUGCUAAGAACAGAUUUUGUUUAUAAAUUGAAAUCUUACUUUAAAGGAAGAGUAAGGAAAUAUACACUCAGAAUUCUGAACUUAUUUUUAGUAUUAUAGCUUGCACCUGUAUGGGGCGAUUUAACAUUGCUGAACCAUAUUUUACUGUACAGGAUUUUCCGUGAAGAUGUGAAGUCUGUACAGAACAGAGGAGAAAGACAGACAAGAGAAACAAUUUACAGAAGCCUCGCUUAGUGAACAUUGAGUUUAAUGGGUUACUUACAGUAUGUGGUGAAGCUCCCUUUAGGCAGGUGGCUGACCCAGAGGCAGCUGCAGGACUGAGAAGCCCACUCCAGCAGCUGUGCUGGCUCCUGCAGCUCCCCUGCAUCACCUGGAGGGAGCCCAAGUGGCGGCAAAGCUCCUUCUCCCCAGCCAUCAUUAUUGCUUAGAUAACCUUGGGGAGGGACUUAGUAAAUUAAAAUUUCAGGAAACUCCUAAGAUUUGCAAGUUAUUUAUUUCCUAAGCCCUAUAAAUUUAAUUUACUUCCUGAGUCUUAGGAACCUCCCCCCAGAAUGGAAUGUUUCAAUUUGUAGGAAAUUACUACACACCACUGCUAAUCUAACCAUUACUUAAGAAUGUUAUUGAUAUUUUUAAAUGGCCUACUUUAAUUCUUCUAAUUAAAAUAAAACAUUUCCUGAUAUAUAACUUAUAUAUAAACUGAUGAUUAUUUCUGUACUAAAAUCUAAAUGUGCAAAGCAUGAUAGUUGUACCAAUGAAUUACAAAAAUAAUUACUCAGGGUCUGGAGAGAUGGCUCAGCAUUUCAGAGCACUGGCUAGUCUUGAGAGGAACAAGGCGUGGUUCCCAGCACCCUCACGGUG